rnacentral:lncRNA from 1 species
AAAGCAAGGUCUGGAGAGGGAACGUGGCUUGCCCAAGAUAUGUUUCAAACUUUGAUGAAAAGCAGGGAAGUUUGGGAAGAAAAUCCAAGACUUCUCUGGAGAGAGACCAGGAAACAGGCUCAGAGAGAAGAAGGGAAUUAUGUACCUCGGUUUAGAGCCAAAGUGUCCUGCCUGCAUUCCAGCUGUUUCCAUCCAUGUCCAUGUCAACUGGCAUCUGGAACUACUCGUAGCAGCAUCCACUCAAUAUACCAGCCUGGAAGACAACGGAGCUGUCAUUCUGUUAAAAAAUUAAGAGAAGUACGCAGAACCUGCCUUUUUCUAAAUGAGAAGCUUUGGAAGCGACUGGACACUUUUGGCCAUUGCAGUCCACAGAUUAUAAAUGUCAUGAAGACAGGGGCUGUGUCUGUCUUAUUCACCUAACUAACCACAGCAACUCACACCAUGCCAUGGAAGGCACUCAAAAAUUUUAUGUUGAAGCGAUAAGUGGAUGGCAAAGGCACCCCAAUUUUCAGGAUUGAUUUCCUCCAACUGUAAUUAGUCACUGAGCAAAACAGCCCAGGCUGGAGUGCAGUGGUAGGAUUAUGGCUCACUGCAGCCUCGACAUCCUGGACUUAAGUGAUCCUCUCAUCACAACCUCUGGAAUAGCUGCAACUACAGAAGGUUACCUGGAGACUUUGGCAAGAGCCACAGCAGUUCCUAAAAGGAAAAGAAACCUCAAAGGAGAAUGUUAAUCUCCCCGAUCAGGAAGCAUCUCUGCUCACACCACGACUGAAUGGACACGUGAAUCUAGCACAUACAGUCGGAGGCCCGCAGAACCGGGAUGGUCAUGUAUCCCAGCCUAUGCCAGUUGUCCCAGCAUCAGUGUUACUAGCAUUAUCUUCCACUCUCAAAAGUGUUCCAGUUUGAACCCUAAAUGAUAUGGUCACCUCCACAGAACUGGAGCAGGGAGGGUCUUGGGUGUUCAUCUUUCCCACCAAUCUUAUCUCCUACAAGUGAGAUGGGUGUCCAGGGAGGAUCUGCCCAGGUUUAUGCUUUUGAUUUCCCCCUCCCUCUGCAGCCCUUCCCAUGCCCUCCUGUCUCCGUGAGGGAGGGAGGACCACCCGCGCAUCCUGCACGCCAGGCCCAUAUUGACGCCUGAUGCUUUUGCCUCCAUUCAGAUCUCGUCUUUCUGUGAACCUGAGGCUCAUUUCAAUUUUUCAAGGCAGGACCACAACAAGCUCUGCAUCUGCCUGCACACAAAGCCGAAAUCACAGUGCUUGGGUGGUGGGGACCCUUUUCCCUGAAAAAGAAGAAGUCAGAUCAUUUCUUAAGGUCUCUCCCAGCCUUAGAACCUGUGAUUCAUAAGAAACUGGCUGAAGCUUUUGGUUUGUCAAUAUACUCAUGAACCAAUUUACCAGAGUGGUUGCCAUCCAUUUCUUUGAAAAAAUUAGCACCUUGUGAAUUUUCAUUAGAUGAAUGAGAGUACCUAUCUUACAUAUCAGAGAUGUUUAUUAUAUAGUAAUAAUAAAGGUAGCUAAGAACUUACAUUGUAUUUACAAAAUGCCAGGCACUGUACUAAGCACAUUACAUAUAUUGGUCCUUAUAACAAUCCUAUAAGGUAGGUACAAUGAAUACCUCCCCAUUGAACAGGUAGGUAAAUCAAGGUACAGAAUUGUUAUGUCACGCAGCUAGAAUGCAAGCAAGUGGAACAUGAACUCAGGCAGUCUGGCUCCGGAGUUGGCCUUUUCACCACCCUGCUAUCCAGUUUCUCCAAAUAUCUAUGUAAAUAUAUGUUCAGCAUUCCUAACCGAAAUAAUCAGCAGGCCAGUCAAAUCUCAGCUGUAAAACACUUGAAGUUCACAGAGCAAGUCACUAUUUACAUCUAGGAGGGCAUUUCACCUCCGCUUUAUAGACCCCUUUACCGAUAUCACUCAGCAUUGUAAAACAACAGGUGUGUUGAGGUGCUCUGUCAAAACAGGUGUUUCUGUGUGCUGUGUUUACACUUAUUUAACCCAGGGUGUCUGGGCACAAUUGCUAUUUAUUUCUUAGUUAUACGGAAUCUUCCACAGGGAGCUCGUAUGAAAAGAGGUGUGAGGUGGGAAAAGAGGUGAGCAGCGGCCCUACCUCAGGACCUUUGGCUGGGCUUGUACACUACCCCGGCGACUGCUCACUGGACUCACCUGUCCCAGGCAUCCUCCACACUUUCUUUUCCAGUCUUCCAGAAGGACCAGUGAUCUGCCUACUGGCCUUUUUUCCCCUUCCAUCUGCUUCCCAGCAGUGGAACCUGCCUGCUUAAAUCUUACUUAUUAACUAUACAUAGAUAUGGCAGACUGCGAUUACAGUAGAAUUGUUUGGGAGCUCAGUAUCUUGCCUCUUCCCACGUACCUUACCCUGGGAAUUGCUUUGUACUUGCAUAUUGCCAUGUGGUGGUGUGUCUUUAAUAACCAUCAAUAAAGAUAGGCCUGGGAAAACACAGACAGCCACAGACUCCUCUAAAUUCACCUGACUGCACAGAACAGAGCUGUCUGGAGAGGUAUCCCGGCUACCCAGAGGUGGUCACCAGGAGUGGUCAAAGUAAACCCACCCCCUUUGAUUCAGCAGCCAGAGAGAAUUUAGAAGAAUAGGCUCACCCUCUGAGGGUUCCUUGAAUCCAAUAAAACCUGUUCUUAAGUCUGAGUUCAUUUAUGGAUUUAUUCUCCAAAUAUUUGAGAGUGACGGUUCUGUGAAAAGUAUUCGCCUAAUACCACGAGGUGUUUCAUAGCUUCUUUAUCAGAAAAGCAAUAGAGAUCAAGGAUGUGGGAAGGAAGGGGAAUUUUUUUUUUGAGACAGGGUCUAGCUCUGUCAUCUAGGCUGGAGUGCAGUGGCACGAUCUUGGCUCACUGCAGCCUUCACCUCCCAGGUUCAAGUGAU